rnacentral:lncRNA from 1 species
ACCGGGGCACCUGUCUAAAAACACCCCGCCUCCGAACGCGCGCUCUUGCGGAAUUCUCCCGAACCGCAGAGCCCUCGUGGCUGGGACCGCAUAGCAACCGGGGGCAGAGUGCGAGCCCCCAGCGGUGUGCUGGGAUGGAAAAGCAGGAGCCGCUGAGGAUGGACUACGGGGCGUGUUCCCGAAAAGCCGGGAAGAGAUGUGGCGGGGCUGCCGCGGGCGUCUCUAAGGCCGGCACGGGUGGCGUCUUGACUCCCUGCCCCUCCAGCCGCGGACCUCGGACGGGGGGAAGGGGGCUCCUCCAAGCGGGGAGACGGUCGCCGGCCGAGCAGCAGGGCUCCUGGCCGGCGGAGGGUGCUAUGCUCUGCGGGACCGCCGGGAAGUCCCAGACAAGGAUCUAUGAAAGAUAAAAUGUGGUGUGAGGACACGGCCCAGCCCCACCGUCGUCUUCCAGCCCCACCAUCGUCUUCCAGCCCCACCGUCGUCUUCCAGUCCCACCGUCGUCUUCUAGCCCCACCAUCGUCGUCUUGGACUCUCUGGGUGGCACCACGCUGUGGGUGCUGCUCUCCUCUGUGUCCCAAACGAGUUUGUGCCUCACUUUGUCGGGUUUUGGCUGUGACUUGGAGCCUCACCAAGCUCCCUUUUCCUCUGUCUCCCAUUCUCCUCUCCAGGCCAGGGUGGCUUCCCCAGCCCUCCUCCCCGGGUCCUGCCUGUGCCGAGCCUUCCUCCCAGGAGGGAGGUGAUACUGACUUGAGAUCUUAUGGGUGUUUUGUUUGUGGCUGGGCCUGGCCGACCCUCUCUCCACGGCCUUAGAUCACACUCUGGAUGGAUAGGACAGUCGUCCUCAAUACUGAGCCUCUUUGGAGCAUACCCACUGAUGGUGGUUCACAAGCUACCCACGCCCACAGGCUGACCCAGAUCUCCGUGAAAUUAAAAAAUACUGUGAAAGGAAAAAGAGCCAAUGUCAUGUGGAUAAUGAAGUGUCAGCCACUGAAAAAUCUCAAAAUAA